UUGAUCCUGCCAGUAGUCAUAUGCUUGUCUCAAAGAUUAAGCCAUGCAUGUCUAAGUAUAAACUUACUAAAAGUGAAACCGCGAAUGGCUCAUUAAAUCAGUUAUGGUUUAUUAGAUCGUCCCAAUCACAUGGAUAACUGUGGUAAUUCUAGAGCUAAUACAUGCUGAAACGUCGAACCGCGAGGUUUUGACUGCUUUUAUUAGAACAAAAACUAACAGUUUUUGUGGUGACUCUGGAUAACUUUGUGCCGAUCGCAUGGUCUCGUACCGGCGACGUAUCUUUCAAAUGUCUGCCUUAUCAACUGUCGAUGGUAGGUUAUAUGCCUACCAUGGUUGUAACGGGUAACGGAGAAUCAGGGUUCGAUUCCGGAGAGGGAGCCUGAGAAACGGCUACCACAUCCAAGGAAGGCAGCAGGCGCGCAAAUUACCCACUCCCGGCUCGGGGAGGUAGUGACGAUAAAUAACAACGCAGGUCUCAAACGAGACCCUGUAAUUGGAAUGAGAUCACUUUAAAUCCUUUAACGAGGAUCUAUUGGAGGGCAAGUCUGGUGCCAGCAGCCGCGGUAAUUCCAGCUCCAAAAGCGUAUAUUAAAGUUGUUGCAGUUAAAAAGCUCGUAGUUGGAUCUCGGGUAACGGGAGGAGGCCCGCUUAACCGCGAUCGCUUCUUCGUCCGACCUAUCAUUCGUCCUGGGCUAGGUGCUCUUCACCGGGUGUCUAGUUUAGAACGGAACGUUUACUUUGAAAAAAUUAGAGUGCUCAAAGCAGGCUCGAAGCCUCGAAUAUCGGUGCAUGGAAUAAUGGAAUAGGACCUCGGUUCUAUUUUGUUGGUUUUCGGAAUCCGAGGUAAUGAUUAAGAGGAACGGACGGGGGCAUCCGUACUGUGGCGCUAGACGUGAAAUUGGUGGACCGCCGCAAGAACAACAAUUGGGAAAGCAUUUUCCAAGAAUGUUUUCAUUAAUCAAGAACGAAAGUCAGAGGUUCGAAGGCGAUCAGAUACCGCCGUAGUUCUGACCAUAAACGAUGCCAACCGGCGAUCCGUCGCGGUAAUUUAUUUUUGACCCGGCGGGCAGCCUUCGGGAAACCAAAGUCUUUGGGUUCCGGGGGAAGUAUGGUUGCAAAGCUGAAACUUAAAGGAAUUGACGGAAGGUCACCACCAGGAGUGGAGCCUGCGGCUUAAUUUGACUCAACACGGGAAAACUCACCCGGCCAGGACACUGUAAGGAUUGACAGAUUGAUAGCUCUUUCUCGAUUCAGUGGGUGGUGGUGCAUGGCCGUUCUUAGUUGGUGGAGUGAUUUGUCUGGUUAAUUCCGAGAACGAACGAGACUCUAACCUACUUACUAGAACGUCGACGAAUUUUUCGUCGGCGAAGCUUCUUAGAGGGACAAGCGGCGAUAUUUUCAGCCGCACGAGAUUGAGCAAUAACAGGUCUGUGAUGCCCUUAGAUGUCCGGGGCUGCACGCGCGCUACACUGAAGGAAUCAGCGUGAAAACUUAGCCUGGUCCGAAAGGAUUUUUCUGGGUACUCCGUUGAAACUCCUUCGUGAUGGGGAUAGGGAAUUGUAAUUAUUUUCCUUGAACGAGGAAUUCCCAGUAUGGACCUGUCAUUAGCAAGUCUAGAAUGCGUCCCUGACCUUUGUACACACCGCCCGUCGCUACUACCGAUUGAAUGAUUUAGUGAGGUCUCUGGACGGGUCUUGGUACGGCGUCUUCAUCGGCGCCGAGCCCUGUGCCUGAAAAUUGAUCUAGCUCAGUCAUUUCGAGGAAGUAAAAGUCGUAACAAGGUUUCCGUAUGUGAACCUGCAGAAGGAUCAAGC
rnacentral:rRNA from 1 species